AGAACGAACGCUGGCGGCGUGGAUAAGACAUGCAAGUCGAACGCGAUUUAUCAGGUUAGCAAUAACUUGAUAAAUUGAGUGGCGAAAGGGUGCGUAACACGUGGGAAUUUACCAAGAAGUGGGGAAUAGCUCGACGAAAGUCGAAUUAAUACCGCAUAUGAUCGCAAGAUCAAAGCCGGGGACCGCAAGGCCUGGCGCUUUUUGAGAAGCCCGCGGCCCAUCAGCUAGUUGGCGGGGUAACGGCCCACCAAGGCUAUGACGGGUAGCUGGUCUGAGAGGACGACCAGCCACACUGGAACUGAGACACGGUCCAGACACCUACGGGUGGCAGCAGUCGAGAAUUUUUCACAAU
rnacentral:rRNA from 1 species